UACAGAGGUCUCAACCGUUGUUCGGAUUCAUUGGGCGUAAAGGGUGCGUAGGCGGUCGUGUAAGUCGGAUGUGAAAUCCCGGGGCUCAACCCCGGAACUGCAUUCGAUACUGCAUGGCUAGGGUACUGGAGAGGAAACUGGAAUUUACGGUGUAGCAGUGAAAUGCGUAGAUAUCGUAAGGAAGACCAGUGGCGAAGGCGAGUUUCUGGACAGUUACCGACGCUGAGGCACGAAGGCCAGGGGAGCAAACGGG
rnacentral:rRNA from 1 species